rfam:Chlorocebus sabaeus isolate 1994-021 chromosome 21, whole genome shotgun sequence.
CAAGGUAUAGCUUAACAUAAAGCAUCUGGCUUACACCCAGAAGAUCUCAACACCACUCGAUUGCUUUGA